AUCUUUUUGUUGAGCAGUGUGCCAAAGUUACAAAGACUAGGAGCAUGUCUUGGAUUUUUGUAAUAAUGAGCACACAUAAGCAGCAAAGUAGAUAUACUGGACCCCGACGAUUGGGGAGGACCUCUCUUUUAGUGUCCAGUGUCUUAAUAUUUGAUGAAAUAUGC